UGGGGAAUAUUGCACAAUGGGCGCAAGCCUGAUGCAGCCAUGCCGCGUGUAUGAAGAAGGCCUUCGGGUUGUAAAGUACUUUCAGCGGGGAGGAAGGCGAUGCGGUUAAUAACCGCGUCGAUUGACGUUACCCGCAGAAGAAGCACCGGCUAACUCCGUGCCAGCAGCCGCGGUAAUACGGAGGGUGCAAGCGUUAAUCGGAAUUACUGGGCGUAAAGCGCACGCAGGCGGUCAGUCAAGUCGGAUGUGAAAUCCCCGGGCUCAACCUGGGAACUGCAUCCGAAACUGGCAGGCUUGAGUCUCGUAGAGGGGGGUAGAAUUCCAGGUGUAGCGGUGAAAUGCGUAGAGAUCUGGAGGAAUACCGGUGGCGAAGGCGGCCCCCUGGACGAAGACUGACGCUCAGGUGCGAAAGCGUGGGGAGCAAACA
rnacentral:rRNA from 1 species